rnacentral:ncRNA from 1 species
AGGAGCCGUGUAACGAGUGAUUGUUACGCACGGAUCUGUGAGAGACUCAGGGGGAGGUUCCCUGGGUCUACUCGAU